CCUACGGGAGGCUGCAGUAGGGAAUAUUGUUCAAUGGGGGAAACCCUGAAGCAGCAACGCCGCGUGGAGGAUGAAGGUUUUCGGAUUGUAAACUCCUUUUGUUAGAGAAGCUAAUGACGGCAUCCAACGAAUAAGCACCGGCUAACUCCGUGCCAGCAGCCGCGUUAAUACGGAGGUGGCAAGCGUUACGCGGAAUCACUGGGCGUAAAGAGCGCGUAUGCGGGAUAGCAAGUCAGAUGUGAAAUCAUAUGGCUUAACCAUAGAACUGCAGUUGAAACUGUUAUUCUAGAGUAUGGGAGAGGUACGUGGAAUUCUUGGUGUAGGGGUAAAAUCCGUAGAGAUCAAGAGGAAUACUCAUUGCGAAGGCGACCUGCUAGAACAUAACUGACGCUGAUGCGCGAAAGCGUGGGGAGCAAACAGGAUUAGAUACCCUUGUAGUC
rnacentral:rRNA from 1 species